GAUGAAGAACGUAGUGAAAUGCGAUAAGUAGUGUGAAUUGCAGAAUUCAGUGAAUCAUCGAAUCUUUGAACGCACAUUGCGCCCCUUGGUAUCCCGAGGGGCAUGCCUGUUCGAGCGUCAUUUCACCACUCAAGCCUGGCUUGGUGUUGGGCGACGUCCUCUUUGGGGACGCGCCUCGAAACGCUCGGCGGCGUGGCACCGGCUUUAAGCGUAGCAGAAUCUUUCGCUUUGGAAGUCGGGGCCCCGUCUGCCGGAAGACCUGCUCGCAAGGUUGACCUCGGAUCAGGCAGGGAUACCCGCUGAACUUAAGCAUAUCAAUAGCGGAGGA
rnacentral:misc_RNA from 1 species